UGUUUCGGCAAGGGGGUCAUCCCGACUUACCAACCCGAUGCAAACUGCGAAUACCGGAGAAUGUUAUCACGGGAGACACACGGCGGGUGCUAACGUCCGUCGUGAAGAGGGAAACAACCCAGACCGCCAGCUAAGGUCCCAAAGUCAUGGUUAAGUGGGAAACGAUGUGGGAAGGCCCAGACAGCCAGGAUGUUGGCUUAGAAGCAGCCAUCAUUUAAAGAAAGCGUAAUAGCUCACUGGUCGAGUCGGCCUGCGCGGAAGAUGUAACGGGGCUAAACCAUGCACCGAAGCUGCGGCAGCGACGCUUAUGCGUUGUUGGGUAGGGGAGCGUUCUGUAAGCCUGUGAAGGUGUGCUGUGAGGCAUGCUGGAGGUAUCAGAAGUGCGAAUGCUGACAUAAGUAACGAUAAAGCGGGUGAAAAGCCCGCUCGCCGGAAGACCAAGGGUUCCUGUCCAACGUUAAUCGGGGCAGGGUGAGUCGACCCCUAAGGCGAGGCCGAAAGGCGUAGUCGAUGGGAAACAGGUUAAUAUUCCUGUACUUGGUGUUACUGCGAAGGGGGGACGGAGAAGGCUAUGUUGGCCGGGCGACGGUUGUCCCGGUUUAAGCGUGUAGGCUGGUUUUCCAGGCAAAUCCGGAAAAUCAAGGCUGAGGCGUGAUGACGAGGCACUACGGUGCUGAAGCAACAAAUGCCCUGCUUCCAGGAAAAGCCUCUAAGCAUCAGGUAACAUCAAAUCGUACCCCAAACCGACACAGGUGGUCAGGUAGAGAAUACCAAGGCGCUUGAGAGAACUCGGGUGAAGGAACUAGGCAAAAUGGUGCCGUAACUUCGGGAGAAGGCACGCUGAUAUGUAGGUGAGGUCCCUCGCGGAUGGAGCUGAAAUCAGUCGAAGAUACCAGCUGGCUGCAACUGUUUAUUAAAAACACAGCACUGUGCAAACACGAAAGUGGACGUAUACGGUGUGACGCCUGCCCGGUGCCGGAAGGUUAAUUGAUGGGGUUAGCGCAAGCGAAGCUCUUGAUCGAAGCCCCGGUAAACGGCGGCCGUAACUAUAACGGUCCUAAGGUAGCGAAAUUCCUUGUCGGGUAAGUUCCGACCUGCACGAAUGGCGUAAUGAUGGCCAGGCUGUCUCCACCCGAGACUCAGUGAAAUUGAACUCGCUGUGAAGAUGCAGUGUACCCGCGGCAAGACGGAAAGACCCCGUGAACCUUUACUAUAGCUUGACACUGAACAUUGAGCCUUGAUGUGUAGGAUAGGUGGGAGGCUUUGAAGUGUGGACGCCAGUCUGCAUGGAGCCGACCUUGAAAUACCACCCUUUAAUGUUUGAUGUUCUAACGUUGACCCGUAAUCCGGGUUGCGGACAGUGUCUGGUGGGUAGUUUGACUGGGGCGGUCUCCUCCUAAAGAGUAACGGAGGAGCACGAAGGUUGGCUAAUCCUGGUCGGACAUCAGGAGGUUAGUGCAAUGGCAUAAGCCAGCUUGACUGCGAGCGUGACGGCGCGAGCAGGUGCGAAAGCAGGUCAUAGUGAUCCGGUGGUUCUGAAUGGAAGGGCCAUCGCUCAACGGAUAAAAGGUACUCCGGGGAUAACAGGCUGAUACCGCCCAAGAGUUCAUAUCGACGGCGGUGUUUGGCACCUCGAUGUCGGCUCAUCACAUCCUGGGGCUGAAGUAGGUCCCAAGGGUAUGGCUGUUCGCCAUUUAAAGUGGUACGCGAGCUGGGUUUAGAACGUCGUGAGACAGUUCGGUCCCUAUCUGCCGUGGGCGCUGGAGAACUGAGGGGGGCUGCUCCUAGUACGAGAGGACCGGAGUGGACGCAUCACUGGUGUUCGGGUUGUCAUGCCAAUGGCACUGCCCGGUAGCUAAAUGCGGAAGAGAUAAGUGCUGAAAGCAUCUAAGCACGAAACUUGCC
rnacentral:rRNA from 1 species